UGGUCCCACCUGACCCCAUGCCGAACUCAGAAGUGAAACGCCGUAGCGCCGAUGGUAGUGUGGGGUCUCCCCAUGUGAGAGUAGGGAACUGCCA
rnacentral:rRNA from 2 species